GCAGACACAUUCCAGCCAAUCAGCAGCAGACCCUCCCUCUCAGAUCCUCCCACCUCCUGGACAGCAUCCAUUUUACAUUCAUUGUGAAGCUGCAUUCUUAGUGAGCUGUCCAGGAGGUGGGAGGGUCUGGGAGGGAGGGUCUGCUGCUGAUUGGCUAGAAUGUGUCU